AUGGGGCCUGAGUCGCUGGCCUGCUGGGACGGGGCGGCUCUGGCAGGGAAAUCAAACCCACUCAACAGCUCCUUCGCCGGGCGCAUCUCCAUGUCCAACAGAUGGCUCACCGUGACGAACGCCAGCAAAGCCAUUGCAGGGGUGUAUAAGAUUGAAUCUGAGAUGAACAAAAGCAAGUGUCUGGUUUUCAUCCAUCUGAUUGUAACAGGUAAGUGCCGUGGGUCACAAUUUCAGGGUAACUGCACCAUGGAUUUCCCCUUGGCCUCUGGAGGGCCCGGAUGUCAGGUUUCCAGCUUCCCAGCCGCCCCCUCUCACAGGUGGAGGCCUGCGUCUGUCUCCCUCCAUCCUGGGGGUUUGGGUUUGAACAUCACUGUGAGUUUCCCAGCACAUCUGAGCGUGGUCCAGCACCCGUAGGGUGACCAGAUGUCCUGAUUUUAUAGGGACAGUCCCGACAUUCAGGGCUUUGCCUUUGUCUUAUAUAGGUGCCUAUUACCCCCCACUCCCUGUCCCGAUUUUGCACACUUGCUAUCUGGUCACCCUAAGCACCUGUGCUUUCCUUUACUCCGGGGCUGCGACAAUGGAAACCAGGCACCAACCAACCGCUGCAAAGCACAUUUAGUCCUAGCAGCACAGAGAAAACAUGGAAAAUAAGAAAUGGUACAGCGGAUAACUAAAAACAAUUUCAUUCACAUUGGUCCUACAUUGUCCCCCUUUUGACCCUUCAAUCCAGGGGUAUUGAAUGGGUCACACUUUAUGCAAUUGUUUUAAGGCUAUAUAUUGGGAAACAAUGUGAGCUUGUGGUUUUAGCUUAAAGUACAGCCUUUUCAUCCAGCAGCACAUCCCACACAUUAUGAUUAACAUUAAGCUUAUCAGAAUAAAGAAAACAACAAUUGGAUGUAACA
rnacentral:lncRNA from 1 species